AGUUUAUGAGCUUGUUAAAGCAUAUGUUUUGAAAACAUAAGAAAGGAAAAAUCUUCCUAUUAACUU
rnacentral:tRNA from 1 species